GUUCCUGCUGAACUGAGCCAGU
rnacentral:miRNA from 2 species